rnacentral:misc_RNA from 1 species
AAGACUAUAGACCUGCGGAGUACCUGCGGAAGGAUCAUUAACGUAUCUAUGAUGGGGUGCGGAGCGCCCUGCUCCGGUCGAACGGCCGUGCGGUGGGUGCGCCGCCCCCGUCCCACCUCACAAACCCACUGUGAACAUUCACCGGUGGAGGGGGCUCGGUCUGCGCCGUGUCCCCGAUGCCGAAUACCCAAACUCCAGUUGCAAAGAACGUCGUGCGGACUCGGUGCCGCCUAAAACAUG